CGGAAUUACAUUAUAUUACUUAUUUAUCAGUAUUUAUCAGUACUUGUUAUCAGUAUUUGAGCAACAAUCUCUGACGCAGUAUUAGUUCUAAAACUGUCCUCAGAUUAUAUCUGAAAAUCCCCAGACUGAUUCUUCUUAUGAAAACUAGAAGAUAAAAGUACUGACAGGAGUGUUGACAUUUCCGCUGAAUGCAACGUGUCACUAGGAUCCAGAACCGCUUCGAACUGCGAGGCUCACCUCCUUUAACACCGACACCGGGCAGCAGUUUGGCCGACAGGAUGACCAGCACUAUCCCGAUGAUGAACCACUCCUUCCGCAGCCUCCCCAGGAGGCCCAUGAUUCAGCUGCCGGGGCUCUGCCUGCGGCCUCCCAGCCGGCCCUCCUAUCGCAGCAGCCGGGCUCAAGUUUCUGAAACCUGCCGCUGCUUCUUCCUUCCCGGAGUUCAGUUGGAAAACACCAACGGAGCAACAGGAGCUACUUCCGGACACGUGGGCUGCGACGCCGCCGUAAUGACCGAACAGAGGCGCACAAUAACUUACCCUGCUGAAUGUUAAUUUCUAAACCCUCAGCAGAAGUUCUGGUGUCCUCUGGUUUCCUUCCAGUCCACCAGCUGGUUCACAGAGGACAGUGAGGGCGUCUUCAUCUCAGAGAUGUGUGUCUUGAUGAGAGAGUGUGCGCAUGUAUAACCCAGCUUCACCUGAAAGAGAAAGUUUGGUUCGUUUGGGGAAGUGUGAACGUGCGAUCGGACCAAAACAGCGAACUCUGGUUAAUCUACAAACCAACGUCUCCGUUCGGUUGAAGUGAAUUCUGGAGCAAAACAAAAGUAUAUGUGAAUGCCAAGCGGACUGGAGACUGCUCCAAAAGCAGGAAGCAGACUACAAUGCAUUGUAUUCUGGCCAUCUUGGAUCCCAGCUGCAGCAGCAUCGUGGCUGUGUCGUACUGCUUCGCUGCGAGGUGCAGCCGGAUGGUCUCCAGUUUCUCGCGCUGCUCCUCCAGCGGGGGUUCCUGCAGCCGGGGCGAUUUGGGCCGAGCGUUGGCCCUCUGCUCCAGGUCUGAGCGCAGCAGAAUGAAGAGCUCUGAAAACGACCUGAAACUCAGACACGGGUCAGUCAGCCGAGCCGAUGUGCGAUCAAUAACUCAGGGUGAUGGCAGGGAGGGGAGGGCUACCUGUGGUAGCCGUCCUGCAGCAUCUCCACACACAUGUACUGCUUCGGCGUGUUUCUGAACCUGAAAAACAGGAAAGUAUCAAACGUCAACCCUCGUAGAAUCAGAAAAAAACUACAGUUCUGAUGUUGUUUCCGCUCCGAUCAUUAAAACAUCACAGUUCAUGUUGCCGUUUUCUCUCUCUUUCUCUGCUGCUCUUUUCUAGAAACCAGCCCUGGCUCAGUGUCUCUCCAUUUCCUGUUCCAUGGAAAGUUCUCCAGGCUCAGAGCUUCUUUCUCUAGAUGUGUCUUUUUCUUUGGUUGGGCCGUCAAAGAAUCUAUUACAGCUUUGUGUAAUCUCUGCUUUUCUUUCUUAUAGAAAGUACACCUGGCUCAGAGUGUCUGUCUGUUUCUUUUUUUACAAGAUCAGUGCUUCUGUGUCUCUCUGUCUCUUUUUCCUGGUUUAAGAUAUUGCUAGCUUUAAUGCUGAAUUAUUUUCCUUUCUUAUUGAAAGUACGCCUGGCUCAAUGCGUGUUUUAUUAUCUUUUUGUAAAAAGAAAGUACUAAAACCUCAGUUAUUCUGUGCCAAGCUGUGUCUCAGUCAAAGCUGUUUCUGUCUUAAACUCUGUGGUACUUUUUCUCUCUUGUAGAAAGUACACCUGUCUCAGUGUAUCAAUGCAGAAACUGUAUUAAUGCUCUAUAUCUUUUCUCUAAGUGCUAUUCUAUCAUGAAAUGGAUUUCUCUGCAUUGUGUAAUCAUUUGUAUUGAACUGAACUGCAUGUGUUUGCCCAGAUUAAUAGGUCGUAUUGAGAUUAAUUUGAACCACAUUGUAUUUUAUAUAGAGUUGAUCUUACAUAUUUGUGGAAAUCUCUUAAAUUACUGCUAAAUAAUGUUGAAUUAGUAGGUGGCUAUUGUUUGUCAGCAGAGGGCGCUCUAACUCUUAAAGCAAUAUUCUCAUCUUUCUAAUAGAUCUUAGUCUAUAGAUUAGUGGAAGAUCAGGAUUUAUCAGGUCCUGGUCUAAAUGCUUGUUAAAGUUUUUAUACGUUUCUUCUCUUACAGCUGAUCCAAACCUUCAAAACUUACCUGGAUUUCAUCUAAUCUGCAUUUUGAUUUUUUUUUUUUAAACCACGGCAGACAUGGAGCAGCAGGAACAUCAGUUUUUAAAUGUGUAAUUUUGAAAAUAUCUGGUUAUUAAUGGGUUUUGACAGUGAAGAAAACAUUUAAAUAUUCCCAUUUUGCCUUUGGAAGAGUUAGAAAUAACAUAAAAGUAAGAUGGAGGAUAAAUUAAUGUAAUAAUUUGUGAUUUUAUUAUGGAUGCAAUAAAAUUAAUCUCGUUUGGAAAUAACUAGAAGCAGA